UACGGAGGGUGCAAGCGUUAUCCGGAUUCACUGGGUUUAAAGGGUGCGUAGGCGGGUAGGUAAGUCAGUGGUGAAAUCUUCGAGCUUAACUCGGAAACUGCCUUUGAUACUAUCUAUCUUGAAUAUUGUGGAGGUAAGCGGAAUAUGUCAUGUAGCGGUGAAAUGCUUAGAUAUGACAUAGAACACCUAUUGCGAAGGCAGCUUACUGCGCAUAUAUUGACGCUGAGGCACGAAAGCGUGGGGAUCAAACAGG
rnacentral:rRNA from 1 species